AGGUUUGUGUACACCAACAGGAUAAAUCUCCCGUUGGAUGACUCGCUUUAGAAGAAUCAAAAAUUGUCAACUUUCCGUCUUUAGCAUUUAGCUUAGCGCAGCGCCAUUGCAACCAUAAACGAUACUGGCUUGGCUAUGUC